rnacentral:lncRNA from 1 species
UUAAAUUAUUAAAUAAAAUAAAUUAAUUUUAUAUCUUUUUAAUUUUAUAUGUUAAUAUAUAUAUUAGAAAUAUUUUCAUUAAAAAUAAAUAUAUUAUAUAUUAUUUACUAAUUUUUAUAAUAAUUUUAAAUAGCAUAUUCAUACUUCUCUACCAAUCAUACUAUUAACCAGUUUAGCAAAAGCAUAUAGCUCCUGCAGGAUACUGCUUCAUACUGCUACUGGUAACGAUAAUGCUAUACCAAUCGGCCUUAGAGAAUAAAGAGUCGCUUAUAAAUAUUGAAAGAACUGAAUUCUUGAAUAGAGUCGAAUGAUUGGUUACUACUCUCGAAUCCACCACAACAGUUUCAUCAAACUCUGGCCCAAUUGAAAAGCUACUAAUCUUACCACACAAACCCAUGAUAGGCCUAGUAAUUACACAACCAAAACAAUAUCACCGCCGGUUAUAUAUAUUCCCUGAUUAGUACACAACCACCCACUCCUCCACAAAUCAGCCCCCUUUCCCACGUCUCAACUUUGAGAUCCUUCUGUGAGAUUGACAUCCCUAACGACUCUCUUGCACAAUGAAUACAAUAUUACAGAUAG